ACGAGUGUGGCGAAACUGGAAUACGCGUCAGAAUUAGGAUCUGAUUUUUUUUUAAAAAGAAGUGUGGGUUCGAAUCCCAUCACUCGUA
rnacentral:tRNA from 1 species